CAACCAGCGAGGAAGCCCAAGCAGCUACACAGAGAGGCUACACGGAGAACCAAGACGCUUUGCCAACAGCUCCAACUGAACUCCCAUCUGGCAGCCAGAAACAACUUCCAGACAUAUGGGAAUUAGGCUCCAACAGGUCUGAGACCAUGUCUUCUGAAAAUCAUGGAUGCCCAAUAAAUAUGAUUUGAAACUGUGUUGCUGGAAGGACUAAGGCUCUCUAUACUCCAGUCAAGGCCAGAAAGUCUACCCUUUACUCAGCUAAUGGUGUCUCCUCCUUUCUUCAUCUUGCCUGCUAUUAAAUAGAGCUUUAUAUAGUACCCAGACUGUCAGCCCUCUCAGAUGAAUUACUUUUUCUGAAAAUAAAAUAAAAUAAAAUGAUUCAUGGUCUUGACCCUUGGGGCUGGAAAGUAAUGUCUCAUUGAGUGAAAAGGCA